rnacentral:rRNA from 1 species
AUUGAACGCUGGCGGCAUGCCUUACACAUGCAAGUCGAGCGGUAACGGGCCUUCGGGUGCCGACGAGUGGCGAACGGGUGAGUAAUACAUCGGAACGUGCCCGAUCGUGGGGGAUAACGAGGCGAAAGCUUUGCUAAUACCGCAUACGAUCUACGGAUGAAAGCCGGGGACCGCAAGGCCUUGCGCGGACGGAGCGGCCGAUGGCAGAUUAGGUAGUUGGUGGGAUAAAAGCUUACCAAGCCGACGAUCUGUAGCUGGUCUGAGAGGAUGAUCAGCCACACUGGGACUGAGACACGGCCCAGACUCCUACGGGAGGCAGCAGUGGGGAAUUUUGGACAAUGGGCGCAAGCCUGAUCCAGCCAUGCCGCGUGCAGGAUGAAGGCCUUCGGGUUGUAAACUGCUUUUGUACGGAACGAAAAGCCUUCUUUUAAUACAGGAGGGUCAUGACGGUACCGUAAGAAUAAGCACCGGCUAACUACGUG